rnacentral:rRNA from 1 species
UAAGGAAUAUUGGUCAAUGGGCGCAAGCCUGAACCAGCCAUGCCGCGUGCAGGAAGACGGCCCUAUGGGUUGUAAACUGCUUUUGUCAGGGAAUAAACCCCCGCUCGUGAGCGGGGCUGAAGGUACCUGAAGAAUAAGCAUCGGCUAACUCCGUGCCAGCAGCCGCGGUAAUACGGAGGAUGCAAGCGUUAUCCGGAUUCAUUGGGUUUAAAGGGUGCGCAGGCGGAUUGGUAAGUCAGGGGUGAAAUCCCACAGCUCAACUGUGGAACUGCCUUUGAUACUGUCAGUCUAGAGUAUAGUUGAAGUGGGCGGAAUGUGUCAUGUAGCGGUGGAAUGAUUAGAUAUGACACAGAACACCGAUCGCGAAGGCAGCUCGCUAAGCUAUAACUGACGCUCAUGCACGAAAGCGUGGGG